CCUACGGGUGGCUGCAGUGGGGAAUUUUGGACAAUGGGCGCAAGCCUGAUCCAGCUAUUCCGCGUGUGGGAUGACGGCUCUCUGGUUGUAAACCUCUUUAGUAGAGAACGAAAAAGAGCUAUCGUAUAAAUACCUCUGCUGACGGUACUCUAAGAAUAAGCCCCGGCUAACUACGUGCCAGCAGCCGCGGUAAUACGUAGGGUGCGAGCGUUGAUCGGAAUUAUUGGGCGUAAAGGGUGUGCAGGCGGCUGAGUAAGACAGAUGUGAAAUCCCCGGGCUUAACCUGGGAACCGCAUAUGUGACUGGUGGGCUAGAGUGCGGGAGAGGGAGGUGGAAUUCCAGGUGUAGCAGUGAAAUGCGUAGAUAUGUGGAAGAACACCGAUGGCGAAGGCAGCUUACUGGGACGUAACUGACGCUGAUGCACGAAAGCGUGGGGAGCAAACAGGAUUAGAUACCCCUGUAGUC
rnacentral:rRNA from 1 species